GUCGGUGGUUCAAGUCCACUUAGGCCCA
rnacentral:tRNA from 2 species